AAUAGAUACCCCGGUAGUCCACCCGUAAACGUUGGGAACUAGUUGUGGGGUCCAUUCCACGGAUUCCGUGACGCAGCUAACGCAUUAAGUUCCCCGCCUGGGGAGUACGGCCGCAAGGCUAAAACUCAAAGGAAUUGACGGGGACCCGCACAAGCGGCGGAGCAUGCGGAUUAAUUCGAUGCAACGCGAAGAACCUUACCAAGGCUUGACAUAUAGAGGAAACGUCUGGAAACAGUCGCCCCGCAAGGUCUCUAUACAGGUGGUGCAUGGUUGUCGUCAGCUCGUGUCGUGAGAUGUUGGGUUAAGUCCCGCAACGAGCGCAACCCUCGUUCUAUGUUGCCAGCACGUAAUGGUGGGAACUCAUGGGAUACUGCCGGGGUCAACUCGGAGGAAGGUGGGGAUGACGUCAAAUCAUCAUGCCCCUUAUGUCUUGGGCUUCACGCAUGCUACAAUGGCCGGUACAAAGGGCUGCAAUACCGUGAGGUGGAGCGAAUCCCAAAAAGCCGGUCCAGUUCGGAUUGAGGUCUGCAACUCGACCUCA
rnacentral:rRNA from 1 species